UGCCUCCCACAUGCAAGUCGAACGGCAGCACGGGGGCAACCCUGGUGGCGAGUGGCGGACGGGUGAGGAAUACAUAGGAAUCUACCCUGUCGUGGGGGAUAACGUAGGGAAACUUACGCUAAUACCGCAUACGACCGCGAGGUGAAAGUGGGGGACCGCAAGGCCUCACGCGACUGGAUGAGCCUAUGUCCGAUUAGCUAGUUGGCGGGGUAAGAGCCCACCAAGGCGACGAUCGGUAGCUGGUCUGAGAGGAUGAUCAGCCACACUGGAACUGAGACACGGUCCAGACUCCUACGGGAGGCAGCAGUGGGGAAUAUUGGACAAUGGGCGCAAGCCUGAUCCAGCAAUGCCGCGUGGGUGAAGAAGGCCUUCGGGUUGUAAAGCCC
rnacentral:rRNA from 1 species